GGCCCGAUGUCUCUGUUGUGUCCAUCUCUGAGGGACAACAAGGUCCUGGCAAAGGGGACCCCUGUGAGCCAGAGUCUUGGAUCCUCAGCACCGCGGACAGGAGCGUGCGAGGCCAGCACCAAGGAGAGCUCCCGCGGUCGCCGUCGUGACAGAGGUCGCCAGGGGCGGAGUCCCGGCCAUGGACGGAGAGAUGUGGGAGCAAGGGACUCAGGGAGACGGCGACACAAACGUGCCAACAAACAUAUAGUGAGACAGAGAUAACCCAGGCAAAGGCGCGGACUUGAGACGACAAGCUCCUGGGGAAAAACACGGACCCAGGUUCGCCGUCAUCCCCGUCGUCCAUCAGGGGUCGCUCUUACCCAGCGACCGCGCCCUCCAGGACCUUGGGGCCAGAUACUGGCCACCACCCCUUGGAAAGCCCUUCUGUCCCCCAAUGCCAGGACUUGGAGUGCUGAGGGCUCGGACACUCUCCAGCUUCGGGAAGCAUGGUGGGUUUGGCCUCAUCUGUGUGAACAGGGAGGAGCGUCGAGGGAGGUGAAAAUCCCUUUAACUGCCCCACUCUCCAACUAUCAGCUAAUCGCUCCUAUAAAUACAGACGGCCUGGCCUGGCUCCUU